UGACGCUGGCGGCAGGCUUACACAUGCAAGUCGAGCGGAGAUGAGGUGCUUGCACCUUAUCUUAGCGGCGGACGGGUGAGUAAUGCUUAGGAAUCUGCCUAUUAGUGGGGGACAACAUUCCGAAAGGAAUGCUAAUACCGCAUACGUCCUACGGGAGAAAGCAGGGGAUCUUCGGACCUUGCGCUAAUAGAUGAGCCUAAGUCGGAUUAGCUAGUUGGUGGGGUAAAGGCCUACCAAGGCGACGAUCUGUAGCGGGUCUGAGAGGAUGAUCCGCCACACUGGGACUGAGACACGGCCCAGACUCCUACGGGAGGCAGCAGUGGGGAAUAUUGGACAAUGGGGGGAACCCUGAUCCAGCCAUGCCGCGUGUGUGAAGAAGGCCUUAUGGUUGUAAAGCACUUUAAGCGAGGAGGAGGCUACUGAGACUAAUACUCUUGGAUAGUGGACGUUACUCGCAGAAUAAGCACCGGCUAACUCUGUGCCAGCAGCCGCGGUAAUACAGAGGGUGCGAGCGUUAAUCGGAUUUACUGGGCGUAAAGCGUGCGUAGGCGGCUUUUUAAGUCGGAUGUGAAAUCCCCGAGCUUAACUUGGGAAUUGCAUUCGAUACUGGGAAGCUAGAGUAUGGGAGAGGAUGGUAGAAUUCCAGGUGUAGCGGUGAAAUGCGUAGAGAUCUGGAGGAAUACCGAUGGCGAAGGCAGCCAUCUGGCCUAAUACUGACGCUGAGGUACGAAAGCAUGGGGAGCAAACAGGAUUAGAUACCCUGGUAGUCCAUGCCGUAAACGAUGUCUACUAGCCGUUGGGGCCUUUGAGGCUUUAGUGGCGCA
rnacentral:rRNA from 1 species